UACAGAGGGUGCAAGCGUUAAUCGGAAUUACUGGGCGUAAAGCGCAUGUAGGUGGCGCAAUAAGUUUGAUGUGAAAUCCCUGGGCUUAACCUGGGAAUGGCGUUGAAGACUGUUGGGCUAGAGUUUGGCAGAGGGUCGUGGAAUUUCCGGUGUAGCGGUGAAAUGCGUAGAGAUCGGAAAGAACACCAGUGGCGAAGGCGGCGACCUGGGCCUAAACUGACACUGAGGUGCGAAAGCGUGGGGAGCAAACAGG
rnacentral:rRNA from 1 species